GAACAUCUUCGCGGGGGAGGAAUAGCUAAUGAAAACAUACUAUUUUUUAAAUUCAUGAUGUUCGUAGGGAAAAUAAUGAUAAUACCUUACUAUGAGUGUCGUCCAAAUCUGGUGCCAGAGACUCGGUAAGACCAGAGACGCAAACGUUAAUCAUCAUAAACAGGCGUAAAGGGUUUGUAGGCCAGCUUUCACCGAAGGUUCUGUAUUACAUAGACUAAUAGUAGUUUCACUUGAAAAGCUAGAAAUCAAAAAGAGGUUUAUAGUGUAUAACGCCUAGAGGAGGGCUGAUAUCCAUAGAUCCUAGGCAGAAUACUCAGGGCGAAGGCCACUCUCCACUACUGAUGACGCUGAAAAACGAAGUUAGGGUAGGCAUUAGGAUUUAGUACCCCG
rnacentral:rRNA from 1 species